rnacentral:rRNA from 1 species
UACAGAGGUCCCGAGCGUUGUUCGGAUUCAUUGGGCGUAAAGGGUGCGUAGGCGGUUGGGUAAGUCAGAUGUGAAAUUCCAGGGCUCAACCUUGGAACUGCAUUUGAUACUGCUCGACUAGAGUACUGGAGAGGAGACUGGAAUUCACGGUGUAGCAGUGAAAUGCGUAGAUAUCGUGAGGAAGGCCAGCGGCGAAGGCGAGUCUCUGGACAGUUACUGACGCUGAGGCACGAAGGCUAGGGGAGCAAACGGG